AGACGCGAGGGCAAAGGCCCAGGAGGACUGUGGGGCUCUCGGAAGUAUCCGAUCACCUUGCGAGGAGUCCGCCGGCUGUCCGAGCCUGAUGUCACUGCAACUUCGAUUCCUCCGACGCCCCUACUCUUACUUCCCAGUCUUCAGGCAACUUCUCCGCUUCGGCCUCCCCUAGGCCUUGGCCCCAGAGAGGGGACGCACUCCACAGGUGGAUUCGCACGUGUGGGCCCUCGGCAGCACUUUCUCGUGCAAAUUAACAGGUGGCCCUCAUUGUGGAAGCACCGCCCAGCCUUUCCCGGGGAGGUCACCAGGGCGAGGCCGCUCAAGGAACCCGAGCCCUGGGAAGGGACAUCAAGGCGCUCCCGAGACUCCGGAGACGGCCAACAGCCCCAAAAGAGAGUACUCGGCUAUCCAGCCGCCCUUAUCCAAGCGGAGAAUCUCUCUCCACCUCCGCCCUCCCGGGACUCAAAGUUGUUUGUGGAGCCUCCAGGUUUCCUUGUAGAUGGGCACGAUAUGCACUGUGUGCGCGCGCGCGCACACACACACACACACACACACACACACACACACACACGUAUAUGUAUUUUUCCAGUGGCCACUGCAGGAUUGCCAGCUUUCGGAAAUGAGCAUCCGCUCUCUCUCUCGGGACUGGGCGUGGGGUUCACCGAAAGGAGAGGAAGAGACCUUGCGUUUGCGCUGGGCCUGCUCGAUGCCAGGCCAUUCUAGGCUUCUGUCUAUCCUGGUUUCUGGUCUGUGCGUUGUGGGUAGCAGCAUUGGCGUAUUACGCCGGAGGGAGCAGGCUGAGCGAGGCUCCAGAAGGUGCGCAAUAGCCGGAGAGGAAAGGGCGAUGCUGUCACCUAGCCCCCUCCCUGAGACUCCAUUCAGCCCAGAAAAAGGAGCUGCUUUCUCCCCCAUCUACCCUAGGAGAAAAUAAACGGUCGCUGGCAUUUUCCUGCGUCUUUUAAUUUUGCCAGAACUGUUUUGGGUUGGCUAUUGUGGGCCAGGAUGGAGGCCUUCUCCUCCCGGGAGCAAACCUGCCCACGCCCAGGCCGGCAGUGGAGUCAGCCUUGCCCCAGCCUGCCCUCCAGGGAAACAAUGCCCCUUUGUCCCUCGCCCUCCCGGGGCUGAUACAGCCCCUCCCCUUAGCUUAGGGCUCCCUCCCGUUAGAGCAUUCCAAUGAUUGCCACAAGUCACACUUUUCUUUGAGGUCUCUGCCUGGGAAGAAAACAAAGCAGCCCUCCUAAUCACACGGAGGGAGUGGAACUUUUCCUGCCCUCUGACUAUGUGCCAGCCUUGGCUCCUCCCUGAAGCCCUGUCUAGAGGGCUUAUUAGGUCACUUAUGUUUUGUACCUCGUGUGAAGUCCCACAAUCAGUAGAUUAUAGAGGGGAGCACAAACCCAGCAGUGUCUGACAUAGAGAAAUUACACAUACAUACAUACACACAUACAUACAUACAUACACACACACACAUACACACAUACAUAUACAUACAUACAUACAUACAUACACACACAUACAUACACACAUACAUACACACAUACACAUACAUACAUACAUACAUAUAUACAUACAUAUAUAUAGUCUUUCCACCACCCAGGAUUGAAAAUUAAUGCUGUUUUUGACAUUGUCCGUUAUCCACCCAAACCCUCCAAAAAGGCUGGCUGGCAUUUGCUUGGCUCUAGUUCUACCUGCCCACCUUCUCCUUUGCCUAAUCCUGAGUUUUCCCCUUCCCCACGUGUGUUCCCCUUGAGCACUUUUUUGCUAACUUCCUGCAUGCUACUGUCAUCUCAGAGACUGAUUCCUGGGGAGCCCAACCUGUAACAUGGAGCUCAGUGGAAAGCACAUGGAAUGUGGACUGAGACAUGACUGUGUUCAAACCCUGGCUCUGUCGCUAAGUGGUUACUUGGUUUGGGGCAAGGCAUUUAAUCCCUCUAAAGUUCACUUUCAUCUGGGGGGAAAAGAUAACUGUGAGGAUUAAGUGAGUUUAUAUAUAGUGUAUGAGUGCCUGGACCACUGAAGCAGUGCAGCAGAUGUUAGCUCCUCCUUCAGUAAUAUUUAUUGAACAUGGCAUCCCAAGUGUUACUAGAAUUUAUAUUUCUACUUUAUAAAUUUUACUAGAAUUUAUGUUUUCAUAUUCUUGAUACUAAUACUGCAUUUUUGAAAGGGGUGACUCCUUCCUUAUUAAAGUUUUAGAACACUAUCCUAAGUGAAGUACAAUGGUUACUAAAUUAGAUGACAUCUGGAUCUGGCUGAUCUUGAACAAGCAGGUUAAUCAUAUAACUUAGCUAGGUCAUUGUGAAAUUUUCUCCUGUGUAGAAAGAGAUAUUAAUAGUAACUACUGUGGCAGAUGGCAUUUUCCAUAAAUGCCUACAAAAUACUUUCCAUCUCAGCUGCUCUUCAGAAAUGACCUUGCCAUUCCUCCAUCAACAGAUGAAAUCUAAUUCCCCUUCUUUUGCAUCUGGGCUGGCCUCAGGGACUUACUUGGGCAUUGGAAUGUGGCAAAAGUGAUGGUCUGGGACUUCCAAGGCUAGUUCAUACAAGCUAAGUCAUUCUGUGUGAGUCUUUUGGGAUGUUCCCUCUUCCAACCCAGCCACCAUACUGUGAGAAGCCUGAACACUUGGAAAGCCAUGUGUAGGUGCUCUGGCUAACAGUCCCAGCCAACAGCAAGCAUCAACUGCCCACCGAGUGAGCUCUCCUGACAUCCAGCACCUUUGGGCCUUCUGAAGACUGCAGCACCAGCCCACAUCUGGGACCCCAAAAAGAAUGGGAAUAAACUGAGCCCAGUUAGUAUACAAACCAAGACAGAUAAUAAUAAAUGGUUGUUUUAAGCCAUUAAGUUAUGGAGUGGUUUGUUAUGCAGCAAUAGAAACUAAAUCACUAGCUCCUAGGGUUAUGUGAAAUCAAGG
rnacentral:lncRNA from 10 species